GCGUAGGGGAAACGCCCGGUUACAUUCCGAACCCGGAAGCUAAGCCUUACAGCGCCG
rnacentral:rRNA from 3 species